CCUCAGAUCGCCACUCUUAAUCUUCAAAACAGGUGAUCACAUGGUAUUUUCUUCAUGGAAAAGUGGUGAGGACUUCAGAGCAGGACCUGCCCAGUGGCUGGCUGCUCCUGACAGCAAAGCAGAAAUUCAAACUCCAGGCAGUGUGACUCCUAACUCCCAGGCAGAGGCAGGGUUGGGUGUGAAGGUUUGCUUGGGGCUCCGGCUUUGUCCUUUGUUCUCGGGGCUUGGGCCCCCUCCUCCCAGCUCCCUGUGCACACGUGUGUGCGCGGAUGCCUCCCUGCCCUGGUCUGGGGCAAUGGUGUCUGUUCAUCCUUCUCCAGUUCUGGGUGAGGACAGUCAGCUAUUUGUCUGAGAGCCAAGGGCAGCCAGCAAGGGUUCAGACGCCUUUUGCUUCCUGAGAAGGGAGGUGGCCUUGCCCUGUGGGAAGCAUCAGUUGGAGGGAGAUGAAUUUAGCUGCCCUCCCUGGUUGGUGAUGGGGGAGGGUCCUGUCAGCCAGAGGAUGUAGGCUUAGCUCCAAAAGGGCUUUUGUCUGAGACUGGGCCUCAGGCCAGAGUGACAUUCUUCGGUGCAUGCUGCCAGGCCACCACUGAGUGGGCACCUGCAGGGCAGCUACGGAAGGAGUGAGGGGCCUGUCUUUCUUCCACAGAGGAGAGCAUGCGGGGAUGGAAUCUGCCAUUUUGGGGCCCCUGGUGUGCGGAGGCCAUGACUGUGGUUGCUCCUGGCUCCAAAAAACAUGCCAAGGCCCAGGCUACCCAGGGAUGUGGGCAAUUAACAUUUUAGCUUCUGUCAUGUCUGAUAAAGAUCCCCACAAGAUGAAAGGAAUCCACUCUGCCUUAAAUGAGUGCGACAGAAGAAACCUAGGGUCAUAGAAAGACCUGGGAGCCUCGGCCACAGCUCCCCUCGCAGCAGGGAUGCUGCCCUUCAUUGAGGAUGUGUUUUGCCCCACCCGGAAUCCUCUGCACAGGUGGGUGUACCAUAUCCUAUGCUGUGGGUAGUGACUGCUGAUUCCCACAGCUAUCUAUUCUGUGGAACCAUCUCUCUAGGGAGGUUGCAUGAAUUCCUUUCGUCCUGAGGUGUCUCCAUGGCAGCCAGUGCCUGACAGAAGACCCGAAGGAGGUAGCAGGCCUAGGGGAUAGUUCAUGGUCCAACGGCCCUGUAGGACCAGGCUGAGGCGGUGAUGGUGCAUGCCUUUAAUCCCACCACUCGGGAGGCAGAGGCAGGUGGAUCUCUGUGAGUUCGAGGCCAGCCUGGUCUACAAAGCGAGAUCCAGGACAGACUCCAAAGGUACACAGAGAAACCCUGUCUCGAAAAACAAAACAAAAACAAAAAACAAACAAACAAGGAAUGCUUCCUUGCUCUUCCAGAAGACCUGAGUUCACAUCCCAGUGGUCACAUCUGGUGGCUCACAAAUGCUUGUAAUUACACCUCCCAGCGAUCCGGCACCCAGUGAACAACUAUUGAGGAUUCUCUAUGCUCCAGAUGUGUUUGCUGUGCCUGAAGACAGCAGUAUGGCAAGUCAGUGCAGCCUUUCCAUCACUGAACCUACAGUCUGACUCGGCGGCGGCGCUCAGACUUGAUGUUCCCAGAUGACAGUGCCAUCUUCAAAUGUGCUGGACCACAUUCUUACAUCUGGGAUGCCUGGAGCCUGCAGCUUGCACGUGCCUGGUGGUGGAAAGAGAUGACUAUUAAAUCAUCACAAAAAAUUCAGUUAUGGCUGUGAUUAACACUCUGCAUCAGCAGUAUGGGCUACAGAGAAGGAUAGCACAGUGUCUGUUCUACCCUUGGCUCUGGAACACCGGGGGUAGGACUCUGAAGAUACCGUUUCUAGACAACAGCUGUCUUGUUAGGUUCUUCUGCCAACAGGAGACAUGAGGAAGGCAGAUGGAGAGAGGAGUCACUUUCUGUCUUAACCUCCCUGCACCCAGGUGUGUCCCUUCUUAGAUGUCUGAGCACCCACUCUGCCUAGAGCAGCGUAGGGCUCCCAUCCCACCCCCCAGCCCUGCAGUGAUUCUUCAGAUGUACCAGCAGGAGCUAGGAGCUCCCCUGUUCUGGAAACAGCCCCAUGCCCCUUUGUUUCCUCGUUCUAGGAUUGGCAGCUCUAUCCUGCCGAUCCCUGAGUUACCUCUGUCUCUUUGUGUGCAGCCCAACAAGAUCCCCCAGAGUAGAAUGUGUCUUGUGUUUUUAUAGUGCCCACCCGGAUCUAAACCAGAUGUGGAACAUCAGCCUGGGCCAGGUUAACAAAGGUGACGCUAAAGAAAUACCUUUAGGUUUCUGGCUUAAAGGGCCAGUAAGACUCAUUGGGUGGGGGUGUCUGGAAGAAAUAAAGUAGAGAGGGAAUGCAGACUCUGGAGGAGAAAUAGGCAGAGAAGGCCUAGGUCAUCUAGAAAUAUGGAGGAAAGUAAUGGUCACAUCCUGCAGGACUUUGAAAAGACAGGGAGCCAUUGAGGAAUGCUGGAGAAUGCUCCGAUGACUAUGAGGAUGCCAAGUGGGCAUUCUCCACCUCCCGUGCUUCCUUCUGGUGCUGAAGGAACUCUCACCUUCCUCCACUGUUGGAAUUCGUUCUAUCAGAAACACAAAAGCAGUGUAGCAAAAGUCAUAGAUCAUUUACAUGGAGGAUCUGACAAGGGGACCGAGAAUAUAGUUCCGUGGUAGAACACUUACCUACAGUGUGCAAGGUCACAGGUUCAAUCCUCAGCACUGGAAAGAAGAAACAGAAAAGGUGAUCCUUUGGGGUACAUAUAACCCCACUGCAUGGUUCAGUUAAAGGAAGGAUCUUUGUAUGAAGAAUGCAUCAUGCUUCUUCCUGCAAAGACACUUAAGGAAGCUUUGUGUUUUGAACAAAUGUGUGAUGGUGAGUGGCAGCCUUGAGCAGGGCCCAGUCUGUCUUCGGAGUCAACUGAAAUUCCAAUGCCGUCUCUGCUUCCUAUCUUGAGAACACAACCUAGCCUCUCUGAACCCUUGCUGCCUUGUCUGAAAAUUGUGUCUUCUGGGUUCUUUAAAAUUAGAUCAUAUUGGUACAACACCCAGCUCGGUGCCUGGUACCCAGUAGUCCCUUAAAAUGUACUAUUAGUUUAAUAGUUCCUUUGACUUCAAAGUAUAUUCUCGUAACUUCUACUUCAAUAGAGAUCCUGCAAACUUAGCCUAAUCUCUCUUCCACAUGAGGACAUUCCUGCCAUGCCACAUUCACUGUCUUGGAUUUUCUUUGGGGUGGCAUUCUUAGAUGUUCUUGUUGGCCACCUGGGUCAAGUCCUGAGUUCUCAUCGUUACCCAGAUCCCCAAGGUCCCAGCCUCAAAGCCUUCUCCUGGAUCCUCUAAUGAUCAAACCUGCCAGCUGGGUUUGUCCAGGAUUGCCAUACUGAUGCCACAAGGCUUCAGAUGUAGACGUUUACUGAUUGUUUUGUCUCUCUGAUGGCUGUUUUGACACGACAAUUGUUCAGAUGAAAGUUCUGAGUAUUUUUUCAGGCUUGCAAGAGCAUGUGUUAGAAGUUAACUCCAACAGGAACAUGAGAAACGAAUUUCCCUGUUGUCCUGUGAUUAUGCAUCGAGUCGGCUUCCUUUUUCACUUUCUCCAGAUCCACACAACACAUCUAGGAAAAAAAUAAAUGGUGACCUGUACAACUUA